CCUACGGGAGGCAGCAGUGAGGAAUAUUGGUCAAUGGUCGGGAGACUGAACCAGCCAAGCCGCGUGAGGGAUGAAGGUACAGAGUAUCGUAAACCUCUUUUGUCAGGGAACAAAGGCGGGGACGUGUCCCCGGAUGAGUGUACCUGAAGAAAAAGCAUCGGCUAACUCCGUGCCAGCAGCCGCGGUAAUACGGAGGAUACGAGCGUUAUCCGGAUUUAUUGGGUUUAAGGGGUGCGCAGGCGGUCUGUUAAGUCAGCGGUAAAAGCCCGGGGACAAACCCCGGCCCGCCGUUGAAACUGGCAGUCUCGAGUUGGAGAGAAGUAUGCGGAAUGCGCGGUGUAGCGGUGAAAUGCAUAGAUAUCGCGCAGAACUCCGAUUGCGAAGGCAGCAUGCCGGCUCCACACUGACGCUGAGGCACGAAAGCGUGGGUAUCGAACAGGAUUAGAUACCCGGGUAGUC
rnacentral:rRNA from 1 species